AUUGAACGCUGGCGGCAGGCCUAACACAUGCAAGUCGAACGAGUGGCGGACGGGUGAGUAAUGUCUGGGAAACUGCCUGAUGGAGGGGGAUAACUACUGGAAACGGUAGCUAAUACCGCAUACCCUCAGAUGUGCCCAGAUGGGAUUAGAUAGUUGGUGGGGUAACGGCUCACCAAGGCGACCAACCCUAGCUGGUCUGAGAGGAGGACCAGCCACACUGGACAGGAGCAACGGGCCAGACUCCUACGGGAGGCAGCAGUGGGGAAGAUUGCACAAUGAGCUCAAGCCAGAUGCGGCAAUGGCGCGUGUAUGAAGAGGGCCUUCGGGUUGUAAAGUACUUUAAGCGGAGAGGCGUUACCCGCAGAAGAAGCACCGGCUAACACCGUGCCAGCAGCCGCGGUAAUAC
rnacentral:rRNA from 1 species